UACAGAGGGUGCGAGCGUUAAUCGGAAUUACUGGGCGUAAAGCGUGCGUAGACGGUUAUUUAAGUCGGGUGUGAAAGCCCCGGGCUCAACCUGGGAAUUGCAUUCGAGACUGAAUAGCUAGGGUACGGUAGAGGGAAGCGGAAUUUCCGGUGUAGCGGUGAAAUGCGUAGAUAUCGGAAGGAACAUCAGUGGCGAAAGCGGCUUCCUGGACCGGUACCGACGUUCAGGCACGAAAGCGUGGGGAGCAAACAGG
rnacentral:rRNA from 1 species